AGCGUAGGCGGACAGUUUAGUCAGAGGUGAAAGCCCAGGGCUCAACCUUGGAAUUGCCUUUGAUACUGACUGUCUUGAGUAUGGGAGAGGUUAGCGGAACUCCGAGUGUAGAGGUGAAAUUCGUAGAUAUUCGGAAGAACACCAGUGGCGAAGGCGGCUAACUGGCCCAUUACUGACGCUGAGGCUCGAAAGCGUGGGGAGCAAACA
rnacentral:rRNA from 1 species